rfam:Schistosoma rodhaini strain Burundi genome assembly, scaffold: SROB_scaffold0000305
AUUCAGCAGACGAGUCCCAAAUAGGAGGAAAUAUGCGUCCUCGAU